GGGUCAGUAGCUCAAUGGCAGAGCAGGGGCCUUUUAAGCCCAAGGUCGUGGGUUCGAUCCCCACCUGACCCA
rnacentral:tRNA from 1 species